AUUGAACGCUGGCGGCAGGCCUAACACAUGCAAGUCGAGCGGAGCGUCGGACGGGUGAGGACUGCCUAGGGAUUUGCCUGGUAGUGGGGGAUAACGUCCGGAAACGGGCGAUAAUACAGCAUACUAUCAGAUGAGCCUAGGUCGGAUUAGGUAGUUGGUGGGGUCAAGGCCUACCAAGGCGACGAUCCGUAACUGGUCUGAGAGGAGGAUCAGUCACACGGGAAAUUGUACACGGGCCAGACUCCUACGGGAUGCAGCAGUGGGGAAUAUUGGGCAAUGGGCGAAAGCUUGAUCCAGCCAUGCCGCGGGUGGGAAGAAGGUCUUCGGAAUGGAAAGCACUUUAAGUUGGGAGGCGUUACCAAAAGAAGAAGCACCGGCUAACUUAGUUCCAGCAGCCGCGGUAAGACC
rnacentral:rRNA from 1 species